GCCUGGGUGGCUCAGUCGGUUGAGUGUCUGACUUCGGCUCAGGUCAUGGUUUCGCGUGCGUGGGUUCGAGCCCCGCGUCGGGCU